rnacentral:lncRNA from 1 species
CAGCCCUUUAUACCCAGCUUUGUUCGAAGAAGACAUUGCUCAGAAGUACAGCCCUUAGUGGAAACAGAGUAACAUGCUCACGGUGUGGAGAGGAUUCAAGAAUUUUCUCUGGAAGUAGACUAAAUAAUGUUUGAAAGACCUUUUCACUCCUGAAAAUCUAUAACAACACCAAUUUACUUUGGCUUUUAAGAAAUGAGUGAGACAUUCUCAGUGAAACACACUGGAAAACCAAUGGUCAUGAGGUUUGCUUGGUUUUCUUUUUUUUUUGUUUUAACUGUAGUACGUUGUUUCUCAGCACUCUCCUCAUCAGGGACAAGAGUGGGUUUCAGAAACCACAAAACAUUUCUCGGAGCAGAAAGCAAAAGAACUCUUGAAAGGAAAUAUACAUCCACACUGUGAAUCUGAAAAUUCCUUGCCAGCAUCUUCAAGUGAGCUAGUUCUCCAACAUUAUUCUCUGUAGGCUUCGUGAGAACUCAGACUAAUGGGUUUGGAUCAAGGACUUCUCCCUGAACCUGGAGUCCUAAUAACUCACUUUUUGUUGCCAAAAGUGAAAAAUCCUAGUGAGAAACUGUGAAGAGUACAGAAGAUGAAGAACUGAGUGUGUGAGAACUGAGACAAAAAGCAGUAGGAGUUGAAGAGGAAAAAACUCGAUGGAUGGGUACCAAUAUGUGGUCAGAACUAGUCACAAGGCUCCACCCAACUGCAAGGAAAAGGGGAAGCAGGGUCAUCUACUAGAUCUUAAAGGUAUAGAGAACUGGACGUGGAUGAGCACAGGGGUCUCUACCACGUCAUCUAUGACCAGUCUUUCUAAAUUCCCCCAUCGAUCCCUUAAUCCUUUUUAGACUUACAUUUGUUUCCUUCUUACAUAUUACACUUUUAUAACCUUUUAUUUGCUGCUUACUGUUUUUUUC